rnacentral:rRNA from 1 species
UGGGGAAUCUUGGACAAUGGGGGCAACCCUGAUCCAGCCAUGCCGCGUGAGUGAUGAAGGCCUUAGGGUCGUAAAGCUCUUUCAACGGUGAAGAUGAUGACGGUAGCCGUAGAAGAAGCCCGGCUAACUUCGUGCCAGCAGCCGCGGUAAUACGAAGGGGGCAAGCGUUGUUCGGAAUUACUGGGCGUAAAGGGCGUGUAGGCGGUCUAAUCAGUCAGUGGUGAAAGCCCUGGGCUCAACCCAGGAAUUGCCUUUGAUACUGUUAGACUAGAGUUCGGGAGAGGAUAGUGGAAUUCCCAGUGUAGAGGUGAAAUUCGUAGAUAUUUGGAGAACACCAGUGGCGAAGGCGGCUCACUGGCUCGAUACUGACGCUGAGGUGCGAAAGUGUGGGGA